rnacentral:misc_RNA from 1 species
GAUGAAGAACGUAGCGAAAUGCGAUAAGUAGUGUGAAUUGCAGAAUUCAGUGAAUCAUCGAAUCUUUGAACGCACAUUGCGCCUCCUGGUAUUCCGGGAGGCAUGCCUGUUCGAGCGUCAUCAAAAACCUCAACCCAUGAUUUAUUGUGAGUUGGUUCUGCAUUGGACUCCUUGUGGGUCCUUUGCGAAAUCCAAUGGCGAAGAGCCACGCAACCAAAGCGUAGUAUAACUAUUUCGUUAUGGAAGCGUGGGUGCCUCUGCCGUAACCCCCAAUUUCUUAGUUUUUGACCUCGGAUCAGGUAGGGAUACCCUCUGAACUUAAGCAUAUCAAUAAGCGGAGGA